CUAGCGGCAGGCUUAACACAUGCAAGUCGAGGGGUAACAGAAGUAGCUUGCUAUUUGCUGACGACCGGCGCACGGGUGCGUAACGCGUAUACAAUCUACCUUUUACAGAGGAAUAGCCCAGAGAAAUUUGGAUUAAUACCUCAUAGUAUUAUAAAGUGGCAUCAUUUAAUAAUUAAAACUUCGGUGGUAAAAGAUGAGUAUGCGUUCUAUUAGCUAGAUGGUAAGGUAACGGCUUACCAUGGCAACGAUAGAUAGGGGUCCUGAGAGGGAGAUCCCCCACACUGGUACUGAGACACGGACCAGACUCCUACGGGAGGCAGCAGUGAGGAAUAUUGGACAAUGGAGGUAACUCUGAUCCAGCCAUGCCGCGUGCAGGAAGACGGCCCUAUGGGUUGUAAACUGCUUUUAUAUAGGAAGAAACCGUUCCACGUGUGGAACUCUGACGGUACUAUAUGAAUAAGCACCGGCUAACUCCGUGCCAGCAGCCGCGGUAAUACGGAGGGUGCAAGCGUUAUCCGGAAUCAUUGGGUUUAAAGGGUCCGUAGGCGGGCUAAUAAGUCAGGGGUGAAAUACCACAGCUCAACUGUGGAACUGCCUUUGAUACUGUUAGUCUUGAAUUAUAUGGAAGUAGAUAGAAUGUGUAGUGUAGCGGUGAAAUGCUUAGAGAUUACACAGAAUACCGAUUGCGAAGGCAG
rnacentral:rRNA from 1 species